CACGUAGUUAGCCGGGGCUUCUUACUCAGGUACCGUCAUUUUCUUCCCUGCUGAUAGAGCUUUACAUCACGAAUGACUUCUUCACUCACGCGGCGUUGCUGCAUCAGGGUUUCCCCCAUUGUGCAAUAUUCCCCACUGCUGCCUCCCGUAGGAGUUUGGGCCGUGUCUCAGUCCCAAUGUGGCCGUUCACCCUCUCAGGCCGGCUACUGAUCGUCGCCUUGGUGGGCUUCUACCCCGCCAACCAGCUAAUCAGACGCGGAUCCAUCUUACACCACCGGAGUUUUUCACACUGAGCCAUGCGGCUCCGUGCGCUUAUGCGGUAUUAGCACCUAUUUCUAAGUGUUAUCCCCCAGUGCAAGGCAGGUUAUCCACGCGUUACUCACCCGUCCGCCACUAAGUUACGAAUCACUAGGUUUCAUCGUAACUCCGUUCGACUUGCAUGUGUUAGGCACGCCGCCAGCGUUCAUCCUGAGCCAGGAUCAAACUCU
rnacentral:rRNA from 1 species